rnacentral:rRNA from 1 species
AUGGUCGACGCAAAAAGUCUGCACCAAAUUAUCCUCGACACCGGCCACCACCAACCCAUCGCUGAUCAAGGGUUCGCUGCGAGUGCCUCCGCCGCUGCUAUGCCUACGAGUGGGCCUUGCAAUGGCACUGCGGUGCCAAGCUUGCCGAGCCAACAGGGAUACCAGUCGUAUAUGGACCUCGCUUCAUCGCCGCUGCCGCUACCACCGCCUUUAGGCCUGAAGCUCAACGGUGCUCAUGAAAUGGCCACCAACAAGUGGAAGCGCGACCAACAAUCGUCGAUGCUUGGUGCAGCCCAAGCGCAACAACAGCUGGUCAUUGUCAAUGACAACCUGCACAAUCAUGUAAGUCCAUCGAUCAAAUCGUCACCAUGCAUGUACCUAUCCAUAAUUUGA